rnacentral:rRNA from 1 species
AUAUUUUUGAUGUAUUAUAAAAUAUUGAAAUAAAAUGAAGAGUUUGAUCCUUGCUCAGGAUGAACGCUGGCGGUAUGCUUAACACAUGCAAGUCUAACGAUUGAUUAUAGUGACGGACGGGUGAGUAACGCGUAAGAAUCUACAUUUAGGAGAGGGAUAACAAUUGGAAACGUUUGCUAAUACCUCGUAAUGCUAUUAAGCUAAAGAAAAUUUUCGCCUAGAUAUGAGCUUGCGUCUGAUUAGCUAGUUGGUUAGGUAAUGGCUGACCAAGGCAACGAUCAGUAGCUGGUUUGAGAGGAUGAUCAGCCACACUGGGACUGAGACACGGAACAGACUCCUACGGGAGGCAGCAGUGAGGAAUUUUCUGCAAUGGGUGAAAGCCUGACAGAGCAAUACCGCGUGGAGGAUGAAGGGUUUUGGCCUGUAAUCUCCUUUUCUCAUUGAAGAAAAUUUGACGGUAUUUGAGGAAUAAGCAUCGGCUAAUUUCGUGCCAGCAGCCGCGGUAAUACGAGAGAUGCGAGCGUUAUCCGGAAUUAUUGGGCGUAAAGCGUCUGUAGGUGGUCGAGUGUGUUUAAUGUUAAAGAUUAAAGCUUAACUUUAAAAAGGCAUUAAAAACUACUGGACUUGAGUAUGAUAGAGGUAAAGGGAAUUCCCAGUGUAGCGGUGAAAUGCGUAGAUAUUGGGAAGAACACCAAUGGCGAAAGCACUUUACUAGGUUAAUACUGACACUGAGAGACGAGAGCUAAGGGAGCAAACAGGAUUAGAUACCCUGGUAGUCUUAGCCGUAAACGAUGGAUACUAAGUGGUGUGUAAAAGCGCUGCUGUAGUUAACACGUUAAGUAUCCCGCCUGGGGAGUACGCUUGCAAAAGUGAAACUCAAAGGAAUUGACGGGGGCCCGCACAAGCGGUGGAGCAUGUGGUUUAAUUCGAUGCAACACGAAGAACCUUACCAGGGUUUGACAUGCUAGGAAGUUUUUUGAAAGAAAGAUGUGCCUUCGGGAACCUAGACACAGGUGGUGCAUGGCUGUCGUCAGCUCGUGUCGUGAGAUGUUGGGUUAAGUCCCGCAACGAGCGCAACCCUCGUUUUUAGUUAUGUGAUAUCUAAAAAGACUGCCGGUGAUAAAUCGGAGGAAGGCGAGGAUGAGGUCAAGUCAUCAUGCCCCUUAUAUCCUGGGCUACACACGUGCUACAAUGGUUUAGACAAUGAGUUGCAACUCUGUGAAGACAAGCUAAUCUCUUAAACUAAGCCUCAGUUCGGAUUGUAGGCUGAAACUCGCCUACAUGAAGUCGGAAUCGCUAGUAAUCGCCGGUCAGCUAUACGGCGGUGAAUCCGUUCUCGGGCCUUGUACACACCGCCCGUCACACCAUGGAAGCCGGCCUUGCCUGAAGAUGUUAUUUUAACGAAAGAGAAAAACAUUUAAAGCCGGGUUGGUAACUGGGGUGAAGUCGUAACAAGGUAGCCGUACUGGAAGGUGCGGCUGGAACAACUCCA